GCCAGGCCCCUCCAGCCCAGUUUUAUGGGUGAGAAGGAUCAAAGGGCUCCAAGUGCUCCCAUAUGGUAAAUGGCCCUAUAUGUUGUGUAUAAUUACACACAAGCAUCCCCACAUCCAUGUUCGGUCUCUAUUAAAGAUCCCUGGGCAGCAGCCAGCGCUGUUUUCCCAGGACAGGAACAUUCCAGACGUCACGGCAGUGGCGUCACACUCUCGCACGCACGGCCUGGGAGCCAGGACACACCUGCCCGAGGCACGGGAUCCCCCCCACUGCCCUCAUCCUGCCUCCCAGAGCUGGGAUGGGGCAAUUCCAGGGACAGUGGAGCCUUUCCUCUGGACACCAGCUGGGAAAGGUGUUUUCCAGCCACAGGGUGGCAGCUGAUGGAAGCGUUAGUGAUGCAGUCCUCCUGAGCAGUGAGCUUGUGCAAAAGUGUUGGAAUCACAAGUGGAAAGGACUCAGUGUAAUAUUCCAUCACUUCAGGAUUUCGCUUCUUACACAGACAAAAGGACAAAAACUCCAGAAUGUGGCUGGUUUGUGCUCGUCUGUGCACACUUUCAGGAUGCCUCUGGAAAACAAACUUUAGGUUCACUCUGUCUCCUCUUGGAGCUUCACCUUUGCCUCUGCAUUUCCUGAAGUGGAGUCUGUGGUUUCUGAAUUGUUUUACUAUGACUUUGUCUUGUUUUCCCUCCAGAGCUGUGGUCUUUGCUUACAUUCUCUGAAUGGCAAAGCCCAUUUGUUUCUUUUUAUACUUCUGUCAGCUUAAAUUUCCAUCAGCCCUCUUCUCUGCUUGUGGUCUCUGAUCCCCACUCAGACCUUAUCUCAAAUUAGGGAUUCCACAGGCUUCUGUAAAAUGAGGAUCAACUUAAAUUCUCAGAUUAAGUAAAAUGAAUAAUUAAAAUAAAAAUUCUGUCUCUAUUUUUCUGUUCCUCACCCAAUGUGAGGAUCAUCUCCUAUUUCUGAUCUGAAAAUAUAAUUUGAAAAGGUAUUUUUUUCCUCACUGACGUUUUUGGUAGCUCCACCUGCACAGAUUUCUUUCUUGAACUUUUUCCUGAGGCCCAUGGACAUUAGGAUGGGGGAAGCUGAGUACAGAUUUGUUCCAUAUUCUCUCUGUGGCCUCAGGGCAUAUUUAACAGUGUGGUAGAAAGACAGUUUCCCAGAGACAAACUUCAUAGAAAUUAAUAAAUUUUUAAUAACAUUUAUAAAAUUAAUCAAAGUUGUUUUGUUUUUCCCAGACUCCCUUUACUCAUUCUCACAGAAAUUUAGUCAAUAGCUAUGAGCAGAUGAAUCCUCACCAAGCGUGAAUUCCCUUCCCCUGAGCUCUGUUCUUCCAACGUGUCCUGACUGCCCAUUAUGGGCAUGGAGGACACAGACCCACCAUCCAAAAGACAAAUAUUUAAUGGGGUGGCUGUAAAAGGAGUGAUCUUGUGGUGUUUUCUUUUCCACAGAGACUUCCUGAGGGCUUCUCUGUGGAAGACUCACUCCCUUUACUUAUAUUGUUAUUAAUAUAAAUAAGUUGAUUAAGUGUCUUGUUUAAAUUGCAUUUAUCACAUUCAUCCUUGUUGAAAAACCCUCUUCAAAAAUCUGAGUGGCUGGAGCAUUUGAAGAGAAGUGUUAUACUCACAAGAGUGAUAAUGAGAUAGGUGCAGCUGGGAAUCAGGUAUAUGAGAAUUACUGAACACUUGGCAAAGACUGUUAUUCUCUUUCUCCCCCUCCUUCCCUUCUAAUGAUUAAAAAUAAAUUAGGACAGAUAUUUGUACACCACCAACAGAAGCCUGUUUGUUAUGUCUUACACAGUUCUUUCUGGUUGUAGGUUCUUAUUAAUUUCUUUUUUUGUUUCUUUAAAUUACUGAGGAGUAUUUUCUAACACCUCUUCAUGCCAUCCCUUUCUUGGAAAUUGAUGGUGUCUAUGACCCUGUGCCUCCACACAGGAACCUCAGCCUUUCCUUGGAUGUCACCUACAUUUUUUCUGAGAUUUUGAUCAACACAUAUAUAUUUUUCUUUCUACAUUGUGAAUAUGGUAGUGGCCUUAAGCAAGUGGAAAACAGCCCAGCCUCCCUGUAUGGAAUUUCCCAGGACAAGCUGGGUAUGGAAUAGCUUCAGUGCCAUUCCCUGGCUCUCCUAGUCCCAGAUGGGUGGAGGCAGAAGGCAUCAAGAGCAUUGAGCACUCAAACUCCUCUGGGCUGAAGGGACAUCCUCUGUGCAGUUCUCCAGCUCAGAAGAUAAAUGAGACUCUGGUAGUCUUCUGAAAUUCUUUUGCCCAAAGAAGGGAUAAAAUUGUUUUCAGCGGCUCCAGAAUCCGUGAAAUAAUGUAAACAAGAAUCAUGAUUCUUCUUGCAGAUCCAUUGAUCCACAUGUGUGGUAAGAAAGAUUAAGGAUGAGUUUCUUGUAAACCCAUCACUGAUGAGUUUUAACCACCUGGUGCAGGAAUAGCUGUUCCAUGAGUCAUGUACAGCACGCACAAAUCCUCUCAGCAGCCACAGCCAGAGGGUUACACAAGCCCCAUUCAGCACCACCCCUUCUCGUGUGGGUUCUUCCCUGCUUUUUGGUAUAUUCACUUUGAAAAGAUUGAUAGAAAGAUGAAAAUAUAAGAAAGAAAAAUGGCAACAUAAAAAUCUGCUUUAUGCUUCUAAUUUCUUGUUCCUGUUAGUCACUCUGGUCAUAUCCUCAGCUAAGUGGAGUCUAACUGAACAAUAGAUCAGCCUGGAUGGCAGCUCUGCUGCUGUAUUACCAACCCAACAAACGGCAUUUUUCCUUCUAGCAAGUUCCUUUAUCAGACCAGUAACAAGAUGUCAUACAGAUGUUAAAAGAUUACCCAUUAGUAAAAAUACUCCAGAAGAAAAUCAAUAUAUUUAGACAGCAUUCCUACUUGAGUAAGAAAGAAAUGCUGUUGCAGGCGUAAGAAAUCAGCUUGAGAGUUCCUAGGAAUGUGUUGUUGAAUGGUUUUUUUUGGCCUACAAUCUGUUGAGCACAUUUGCUCCCACAGUUGCAUCUCUGCCACACCACGGUGUCGAGGCACGUAAGGCUCGGGGGGACAGUGAGGAUUCACUGCAAUAAACAAUUGAACCAUCACAGAGACCUGCUUCAGUCACCCAGGCACUGACAACUGACUGCAACAACAAAAGUCCUGGGCAAAGCUGCAGCUCUGGGCCCUCACCUGCCACAGGCUGAGCAAACAAAGGUAAAAGCAUCCUCUGGUUACAGGUUUCCUCCAGUUCUGCCCAGAAGCUUUGAAUCUGUGCAUCCCAAAAUGUUUUCCCCAGUGUUUUACUCUGGCCAUCCCUCUCACGUGGGAGAUGGACUUGGAGAAAGCAUCUGAAUGGCCUCAGGAGACAUUGGAAUUGAGUCUGCCAGGAGAAUCUGAGAGAAGGGUCACAAGGAGGGGACAGAUAUGGUGACUUGGCAUCAUGAAGGAAACUUCAAACUUGUCUCACAAGUCUGCUUGGAAAAGUAGGGCUCUUAAAAACAACCUCUCACCCCAGUGCUGCAGGACCUAGUGCUGCUGUGGAUGACCAGGAUAUUCCCUCCCAGAACAACAAAGAAGAAAAAUCAAAGUUCUGCAUUUUGUCACUGAACUGAGACUUUUAUGUUAAUCCCCCAAAAAAAAUAUGCAUUUCAAUCCCCAGUGUUAAAGUCAUGAGUUUUAUUUUUUCAUUUUGAAAUAAAAAGUUUUUAAC